GAGCUGAGCUGGGUGAGUACUCUAGGCAUUCCUGGCAGAGGAUACAGCAGGAGCAAAGGCCUGGAGGCUAAAAAUAGCUUGCGGGCAGGGGAGCUACCAGCAGUUCAGUGCUUCUGGAGUUUAAAGAGCCCGGCGAGGGUCAUGUCAGAUGACGCCGGUCCACGAGAAGGAGGGUGGAUUAUAUCCUUAGAGACGCCAUAGAGUGAGGAUAUAAUGGCUCUGUAACAAGCAUAAACUGUGAUGGUCUGGGAUGCCCUCGUCAUAGACAGCCCCUGGAGAGUCGAAGGUCCACAGAAAACAUCCUGGGGUCCUGAGCUGAAGUGUGAUGGGAGGAGUCCUCUGUAUCUCAGUCUGAUCCUGGUCUCCCUCUCGGCCAUGGUCUCACACUAGUGCUGCUGGGAAACCAUCCCUCACAUCCAGUCCUGGCAUCGGGCAGUGACUCUGGUCCAACUGUUGUCCAACUCAAGGGUUUAGCUGCUUAGAUUUUCCUAAAACUUGAAUUUCAUUUUCCUCUAGCCAUGGAAUACAGAUUAAUCCUUUACAAUUAAAAUCCAAGUUCAGAUUUUAUUUGUUGUGGUUUUUAAUUAAAAUCUCACCAGCA
rnacentral:lncRNA from 1 species